rnacentral:rRNA from 1 species
CGGCACCUCAAGUGGUCAGGAUGAUUAUUGGGCCUAAAGCAUCCGUAGCCGGCGCUGUAAGUUUUCGGUUAAAUCUGUACGCUCAACGUACAGGCUGCCGGGAAUACUGCAGCGCUAGGGAGUGGGAGAGGUAGACGGUACUCGGUAGGAAGGGGCAAAAUCCUUUGAUCUAUUGAUGACCACCUGUGGCGAAGGCGGUCUACCAGAACACGUCCGACGGUGAGGGAUGAAAGCUGGGGGAGCAAACCGGAUUAGAUACCCGUGUAGUCC